AGGGUGAAGGGGUUGCAAUAAACUGGUGGCUGCGACUGUUUAAUAAAAACACAGCACUCUGCAAACACGAAAGUGGACGUAUAGGGUGUGACGCCUGCCCGGUGCCGGAAGAUUAAAUGAUGGGGUGCAAGCUCUUGAUUGAAGUCCCGGUAAACGGCGGCCGUAACUAUAACGGUCCUAAGGUAGCGAAAUUCCUUGUCGGGUAAGUUCCGACCUGCACGAAUGGCGUAACGAUGGCCACACUGUCUCCUCCCGAGACUCAGCGAAGUUGAAGUGUUUGUGAUGAUGCAAUCUACCCGCGGCUAGACGGAAAGACCCCAUGAACCUUUACUGUAGCUUUGCAUUGGACUUUGAACCGAUCUGUGUAGGAUAGGUGGGAGGCUAUGAAACCGGAACGCUAGUUUCGGUGGAGCCGUCCUUGAAAUACCACCCUGGUUUGUUUGAGGUUCUAACCUUGGUCCGUGAUCCGGAUCGGGGACAGUGCAUGGUAGGCAGUUUGACUGGGGCGGUCUCCUCCCAAAGGGUAACGGAGGAGUACGAAGGUACGCUAGGUACGGUCGGAAAUCGUGCUGAUAGUGCAAUGGCAUAAGCGUGCUUAACUGCGAGACCGACAAGUCGAGCAGGUGCGAAAGCAGGUCAUAGUGAUCCGGUGGUUCUGUAUGGAAGGGCCAUCGCUCAACGGAUAAAAGGUACUCUGGGGAUAACAGGCUGAUACCGCCCAAGAGUUCAUAUCGACGGCGGUGUUUGGCACCUCGAUGUCGGCUCAUCUCAUCCUGGGGCUGUAGCCGGUCCCAAGGGUAUGGCUGUUCGCCAUUUAAAGAGGUACGUGAGCUGGGUUUAAAACGUCGUGAGACAGUUUGGUCCCUAUCUGCCGUGGGCGUUGGAUAUUUGAAGGGGGCUGCUCCUAGUACGAGAGGACCGGAGUGGACGAACCUCUGGUGUACCGGUUGUGACGCCAGUCGCAUCGCCGGGUAGCUAUGUUCGGAAGAGAUAACCGCUGAAAGCAUCUAAGCGGGAAACUCGCCUUAAGAUGAGAUAUCCCUGGAGGCUUGACCUCCUUGAAGGGUCGUUCGAGACCAGGACGUUGAUAGGUCGGGUGUGUAAGCGCAGUAAUGCGUUCAGCUAACCGAUACUAAUUGCCCGUAAGGCUUGAUCCUAUAACA
rnacentral:rRNA from 1 species